rnacentral:rRNA from 1 species
UACAGAGGUCCCAAGCGUUGUUCGGAUUCAUUGGGCGUAAAGGGUGCGUAGGUGGCGCCGUAAGUCGGGUGUGAAAUUUCGGAGCUUAACUCCGAAACUGCAUUCGAUACUGCGGUGCUUGAGGACUGGAGAGGAGACUGGAAUUCAUGGUGUAGCAGUGAAAUGCGUAGAGAUCAUGAGGAAGACCAGUGGUGAAGGCGGGUCUCUGGACAGUUCCUGACACUGAGGCACGAAGGCCAGGGGAGCAAACGGG